AAGAUUGAAGACAAGAGAUAACAAGGAGAUUGAAGACUGGGAGAUAACAAGGAUCUGAGGCAAUCGUCCAGAAAGCUUGCUCCGAUGGCUCAAGCUACCCGAAGUUGGCAAGAUACUUCGCAAUUAUCAGAGCUACCGUUCCUCCCAGCAGGCCCACCAGUGGAUCCUUGCUCUUGUUUCAUUGCAACGCCUUACAGGUAAAGUUUAUGCUUUCUCUC